AACCGCCGUAUACGAGACCCGUAUGUAUGGUGGUGUGAGAGUUGCACCGUGGGCUUACCGAUCACGGCCGCCUACUCGAU
rnacentral:sRNA from 1 species